rnacentral:rRNA from 1 species
UACGAAGGGGGCUAGCGUUGCUCGGAAUCACUGGGCGUAAAGGGUGCGUAGGCGGCUUUGCAAGUUGGGUGUGAAAGCCCUCGGCUCAACCGAGGAAUUGCGCUCAAUACUGCCGAGCUAGAGAGAGACAGAGGUAAGCGGAACUAAUGGUGGAGCGGUGAAAUGCGUUGAUAUCAUUAGGAACACCGGUGGCGAAGGCGGCUUACUGGGUCUUUUCUGACGCUGAGGCACGAAAGCCAGGGGAGCGAACGGG